GAGAAACUUCUUAGUUCUUACUACUUUCCUUUUUCUUUGUUCUAAGGCACCGUCCCUCUCUCUGUUGGCUUGUGGCCUCCUUUGCCCCUUAAGGGGUAAGAAGGGCCUCCUCCUGCACCACCUGACAAUGGGUCUAUACCCACUCCUUUCUCGGUUGACUUGUAUAUAUUAUUUUGGGUUUCUUUUGCAGGUCCAAAGUUUAUUGGACAAACUUGAAGCAGCUUGUAUCAUAGCUACAUAUGUGUUCGUGGGUCAUUGUAGUGGUUUUGGAAGCCCUCUAAACGACAUGUGCUCCUUUAUUCUUGUAAGGUUUGGGAGCCACUUUUGUCUAAUGGUUCUACUCACGAGGCGCAAUCUGGGACAUUGGCCCAGAAGGUGCCAAUUAGAUUUCGAAGAACCCCACCAACGUUGUUCCUUGCUUGUUUUGGUGCCAUUUCGUAGCUUUCAUGGCUCUUCCAGGCUGUCCAACAACUUUUCUUUGUGUUUUCAGCACCAUGGUUCCUUUUCUUUCCUUUGCAACACUUGCUAUUGCAUGCAAGAUCUGUUUGUUUUUUCAUCUUUCUAGUGCCUCUUCCUCAAGGAGGAUGGUGUCCAACGGCAUUGCAUUGUUGUGGGCGGUGCAACACUAUGACCUAAGAUUGUAUCCUCUUGCGAUGACAUUGCAUUUCUUUGCUACUUAGGGUUCUUUUUAGUAGCUGAGCCUUGUAAUGAAUCUGGAUAGAAUAUAUUAUUGUGCCUGUUGGCUGUAUUGUUGAGUUUUCCCACAUCUGAUUUACUAGGUUGGCCUUGUUUUGUAUUGCUUAUGGCUAUUCAGAGUAGGGAUGGCCACAGAUCAAGAACCGUUAGCUACAGUUCUUGAAUCACCUCUUUGAAUUUAAUGAAAUUAUGAAUCUGAG
rnacentral:misc_RNA from 1 species